AGGGAUUAUCCUGCCUCUGCCUCCCGAGUGGCUGGGAUUACAGGUGAGGGUGCUGAAAGUUCUUACAAAGGUGAAGUGGCUGAACUAAAGUUACACAUCUACUCAACAGGAGAUGGGAGACUUGAACAAUAGUGGUUUAACUCCAUAGCCUACGCUGUUUUUGCAAUGUGCUUUAAAUAAAUUACAUGUGUUGAUGGGA